UUUCCGUAGGUGAACCUGCGGAAGGAUCAUUACCGAGUGAAAGGCUUGAACAGAGCCCCAUCUCCCAACCCUUGUCUUCUGUACCCACUUUGCUUUGGCAGGCCCGCCACUAUUGUGGCCGCCGAAGGAUUCUUAGUUAUAAAUCAUUAGCUAAACCUUGGGCCCGUGCCUGCCAGGGAACUUAAAUACAUGUUAUGAAACCGGUUUGUCUGAGAAUCCAAAGAAAAUAACUAAAACUUUCAACAACGGAUCUCUUGGUUCUG
rnacentral:misc_RNA from 1 species